GGACGUGGCAAUGGAAUUUCUAGUUUUUCUAUUCAUCUUAGUAUUUACUCUCCGAAUGUUGUGAAUUUGACCCUGAUGGAUCUUCCUGGAUUGACGAAAGUUGCCAUUGAUGGUCAAUCUGAUAGCAUCGUUGCGGACAUUGAGAACAUGGUUCGCUUAUUAUUUAUUGAAAAGGUAUAUCCUAUAACCCAUAAACUCAUCUUAUUACAGUGCUGAAGUUCUUUUGUGUAUAUUCUUAUGUUUAUAUGAACUUUAUAAGAUAUU